UAGUCCACGCCGUAAACGAUGAGUACUAGUUAUUGGAGGUAUUGACUCCUUCAGUGACGCAGCUAACGCAUUAAGUACUCCGCCUGGGAAGUACGGUCGCAAGACUAAAACUCAAAGGAAUUGACGGGGGCCCGCACAAGCGGUGGAUUAUGUGGUUUAAUUCGAAGCAACGCGCAGAACCUUACCAAGACUUGAAAUCCUAGGAAUCCGACGUAAUGGUUGGAGUGCUCGCAAGAGAAUCUAGUGACAGGUGCUGCAUGGCUGUCGUCAGCUCGUGUUGCGAAAUGUUGGGUUAAGUCUCGCAACGAGCGCAACCCCUAUCUUUAGUUGCCAGCAUUAAGUUGGGCACUCUAGAGAGACUGCCCGGGUUAACCGGGAGGAAGGUGGGGAUGACGUCAAGUCCUCAUGGCCCUUAUGUCUUGGGCUACACACGUAAUACAAUGGUGCAUACAAAGGGAAGCGACCUGGUGACAGCAAGCAACUCGAGAGCAUGAAGUUGGAAUCGCU
rnacentral:rRNA from 1 species